rnacentral:rRNA from 1 species
UACGGGGGGUGCGAGCGUUGUCCGGAAUCACUGGGCGUAAAGGGCGCGUAGGUGGUCUGAUAAGGGUGUGGUGAAAGCCCGGGGCUCAACCCCGGGUCGGCCGUGCCGACUGUUAGACUAGAGUACUGUAGGGGCAGGCGGAAUUCCGGGUGUAGCGGUGGAAUGCGUUGAGAUCCGGAGGAAGACCGGUGGCGAAGGCGGCCUGCUGGGCAGUUACUGACACUGAGGCGCGACAGCGUGGGGAGCAAACAGG